AUUGAACGCUGGCGGCAGGCCUAACACAUGCAAGUCGAGCGAGCGGCGGACGGGUGAGUAAUGUCUGGGAAACUGCCUGAUGGCGGGGGAUAACUACUGGAAACGGUAGCUAAUACCGCAUACCAUCAGAUGUGCCCAGAUGGGAUUAGCUAGUAGGUGGGGUAACGGCUCCCCUAGGCGACGAUCCCUAGCUGGUCUGAGAGGAUGACCGGCCACACUGGAACUGAGAAACGGUCCAAACUCCUACGGGAGGAAGCAGUGGGGAAUAUGGCACAAUGGGCGCAAGCCUGAUGCAGCCAUGCCGGUUGUGUGAAGAAGGCCUUCGGGUUGAAAAGCACUUUCAGCGGGGAGGCGUUACCCGCAGAAGAAGCACCGGCUAACUACGUGCCAGCAGCCGCGGUAAUAC
rnacentral:rRNA from 1 species